GGGGUUGUGGCUCAGUGUUAGAGCCGCUGCAUUGCAUGAAAAAUGUCCUGGGUUCAAUCUCCAGCUUCUCCA